CGGGCCAUAGCUCAGCUGGGAGAGCGCUACGCUGGCAGCGUAGAGGUCAGGGGUUCGAGCCCCCUUGGCUCCA
rnacentral:tRNA from 2 species